UACGAAGGGGGCUAGCGUUGCUCGGAAUUACUGGGCGUAAAGGGAGCGUAGGCGGACAUUUAAGUCAGGGGUGAAAUCCCGGAGCUCAACUCCGGAACUGCCUUUGAUACUGGCAAGCUAGAGUCCGGAAGAGGUAAGUGGAACUCCUAGUGUAGAGGUGGAAUUCGUAGAUAUUAGGAAGAACACCAGUGGCGAAGGCGACAUACUGGCUCAUUACUGACGCUGAGGCUCGAAAGCGUGGGGAGCAAACAGG
rnacentral:rRNA from 1 species